CAGUUACAUUUUUUUUAUUCCAUAAACAACAUUUUUCAUGGCAGCUGGUCUGCAGUUUGCUUCUUGCUUUGACAGAAUGUCAAGUGCCUGUAGAAAUUGUCUUAAGAAUGGUUUAAGAGAACAAAAGCUUUUUCACACCUCCAAAAAUGUUUCAUUACCUACAUUUCCCAAUUACCUUCUUAAGAAAAAUAAUAGGUUUUGUUUAUUUUACAUUGUAAUGUUUUGCUUCAAGGUAUAA
rnacentral:lncRNA from 1 species